UACAGAGGGUGCGAGCGUUAAUCGGAAUUACUGGGCGUAAAGCGCGUGUAGGCGGCAACGCAAGUCGGGCGUGAAAUCCCACGGCUCAACCGUGGAAGUGCACUCGAAACUGCGUAGCUAGAGUCCUGGAGAGGAAGGUGGAAUGCUUGGUGUAGAGGUGAAAUUCGUAGAUAUCAAGCGGAACACCGGUGGCGAAGGCGGCCUUCUGGACAGUGACUGACGCUGAGACGCGAAAGCGUGGGGAGCAAACAGG
rnacentral:rRNA from 1 species